rnacentral:rRNA from 1 species
GAUGAACGCUAGCUACAGGCUUAACACAUGCAAGUCGAGGGGCAGCAUGAACUUAGCUUGCUAAGUUUGAUGGCGACCGGCGCACGGGUGAGUAACACGUAUCCAACCUGCCGAUGACUCGGGGAUAGCCUUUCGAAAGAAAGAUUAAUACCCGAUGGCAUAAUUCUUCCGCAUGGUAGAACUAUUAAAGAAUUUCGGUCAUCGAUGGGGAUGCGUUCCAUUAGGUUGUUGGCGGGGUAACGGCCCACCAAGCCUUCGAUGGAUAGGGGUUCUGAGAGGAAGGUCCCCCCANAUUGGAACUGAGACACGGUCCAAACUCCUACGGGAGCAGCAGUGAGGAAUAUUGGUCAAUGGACGAGAGCCUGAACCAGCCAAGUUAGCGUGAAGGAUGAAGGUCCUACGGAUUGUAAACUUCUUUUAUAAGGGAAUAAACCCUCCACGUGUGGGAUUUUGUAUGUACCGUAUGAAUAAGCAUCGGCUAACUCCGUG